UUGUAAUUGGAAUGAUAGAAAUUUAAACCCUUUUUAAAGUAUCAAUUGGAGGGCAAGUCUGGUGCCAGCAGCCGCGGUAAUUCCAGCUCCAAUAGCGUAUAUUAAAAUUGUUGCAGUUAAAAAGCUCGUAGUUGAAGUUCUGCUAAAAGUAACCGGUCUGCUUUUAAUAAAGGUGGUAUCUUGGUGUGUAUUUAGCAAUGAUGUCCUUUGAAAGUGUUUUUUACUUUAUUGUAAUAAAGCAUAUUCAGGACUUUUACUUUGAGAAAAUUAGAGUGUUUCUAGCAGGCUAACGCUUUGAAUACUGCAGCAUGGAAUAAUAAGAUAGGAUUUUAGUUCUACAUUAUUGGUUUUAAGAGCUAAAUUAAUGAUUGAUAGGGACAGUUGGGGGCAUUUGUAUUUAACUGUCAGAGGUGAAAUUCUUAGAUUUGUUAAAGACAAACUACUGCGAAAGCAUUUGCCAAAGAUGUUUUCAUUAAUCAAGAACGAAAGUUAGGGGAUCGAAGACGAUCAGAUACCGUCGUAGGCUCUUAACUAUAAACUAUGCCGA
rnacentral:rRNA from 1 species